rnacentral:rRNA from 1 species
AGUGAACGCUGGCGGUAGGCCUAACACAUGCAAGUCGAACGGCAGCACAGGAGAGCUUGCUCUCUGGGUGGCGAGUGGCGGACGGGUGAGGAAUACAUCGGAAUCUACUUUUUCGUGGGGGAUAACGUAGGGAAACUUACGCUAAUACCGCAUACGACCUACGGGUGAAAGCAGGGGAUCUUCGGACCUUGCGCGAUUGAAUGAGCCGAUGUCGGAUUAGCCAGUUGGCGGGGUAAAGGCCCACCAAGGCGACGAUCCGUAGCUGGUCUGAGAGGAUGAUCAGCCACACUGGAACUGAGACACGGUCCAGACUCCUACGGGAGGCAGCAGUGGGGAAUAUUGGACAAUGGGCGCAAGCCUGAUCCAGCCAUACCGCGUGGGUGAAGAAGGCCUUCGGGUUGUAAAGCCCUUUUGUUGGGAAAGAAAUCCAGCUGGUUAAUACCCGGUUGGGGUGACGGUACCCAAAGAAUAAGCACCGGCUAACUUCGUGCCAGCCGCCGCAGUAA